CCUACGGGGGGCUGCAGUAGGGAAUAUUGGACAAUGGGCGCGAGCCUGAUCCAGCCAUGCCGCGUGCAGGAAGACGGCCUUCUGGGUUGUAAACUGCUUUUGCCAGGGGAUAAAAAGACCAUGCGUGGUCAAUUGAAGGUACCUGGUGAAUAAGCCACGGCUAACUACGUGCCAGCAGCCGCGGUAAUACGUAGGUGGCAAGCGUUGUCCGGAUUUAUUGGGUUUAAAGGGUGCGUAGGCGGUCUUAUAAGUCAGUUGUGAAAUACUUCAGCUUAACUGGAGAGGUGCAAUUGAUACUGUAAGACUUGAGUACAGACGAGGUAGGCGGAAUUGACGGUGUAGCGGUGAAAUGCUUAGAUAUCGUCAAGAACACCGAUAGCGAAGGCAGCUUACUAGACUGUAACUGACGCUGAUGCACGAAAGUGUGGGGAUCAAACAGGAUUAGAUACCCCAGUAGUC
rnacentral:rRNA from 1 species